rnacentral:rRNA from 1 species
CCUACGGGUGGCAGCAGUGAGGAAUAUUGGUCAAUGGACGAGAGUCUGAACCAGCCAAGUAGCGUGAAGGAUGACUGCUCUAUGGGUUGUAAACUUCUUUUAUAUGGGAAUAAAAUGAUGCACGUGUGCGUUUUUGUAUGUACCAUAUGAAUAAGCAUCGUCUAACUCCGUGCCAGCAGCCGCGGUAAUACGGAGGAUGCGAGCGUUAUCCGGAUUUAUUGGGUUUAAAGGGUGCGUAGGUGGUUUGUUAAGUCAGUGGUGAAAGUUUGCGGCUCAACCGUAAAAUUGCCGUUGAAACUGGUAGACUUGAGUACAGUAGAGGUAGGCGGAAUUCGUGGUGUAGCGGUGAAAUGCAUAGAUAUCACGAAGAACUCCGAUUGCGAAGGCAGCUCACUGGACUACAACUGACACUGAGGCUCGAAAGUGUGGGGAUCAAACAGGAUUAGAUACCCCUGUAGUC